rfam:Loxodonta africana unplaced genomic scaffold scaffold_42, whole genome shotgun sequence.
UCCAUAUCUUAAAGAAACAUCUUUCAAGUGCCUUUCUGUAUUUUUCAGGAGCGCAAGAUAGAUU